UUUUAAAAUUUUCAUCCCUUUGUAUUGUUAAAAACUAGCUUAGCUGAAGAAUAACCAAAUAAUAACACGUGUUAUACCAUAUGUACCACGUACUAACAUACAAGGACCAGUUUUUAAUGAUAAGAAAUGGAUGAAUUUUUUAAUA
rfam:Gossypium arboreum cultivar AKA8401 contig_6477_3, whole genome shotgun sequence.